AACGAACGCUGGCGGCAUGCCUAACACAUGCAAGUCGAACGAAGUCUUCGGACUUAGUGGCGCACGGGUGCGUAACGCGUGGGAAUCUGCCCUUGGGUACGGAAUAACUCAGAGAAAUUUGUGCUAAUACCGUAUAAUGUCUUCGGACCAAAGAUUUAUCGCCCAAGGAUGAGCCCGCGUAAGAUUAGCUAGUUGGUGGGGUAUAAGCCUACCAAGGCGACGAUCUUUAGCUGGUCUGAGAGGAUGAUCAGCCACACUGGGACUGAGACACGGCCCAGACUCCUACGGGAGGCAGCAGUGGGGAAUAUUGGACAAGGGGCGAAAGCCUGAUCCAGCAAUGCCGCGUGAGUGAUGAAGGCCCUAGGGUUGUAAAGCUCUUUUACCAGGGAUGAUAAUGACAGUACCUGGAGAAUAAGCACCGGCUAACUCCGUG
rnacentral:rRNA from 1 species